UACGUAGGGGGCUAGCGUUGUCCGGAAUCAUUGGGCGUAAAGCGCGUGUAGGCGGUCCGGUAAGUCCGCUGUGAAAGUCGGGGGCUCAACCUCGGAUGCCGGUGGAUACUGUCGGGCUUGAGUACGGAAGAGGCGAGUGGAAUUCCGUGGUGUAGCGGUGAAAUGCGCAGAUAUCAGGAGGAACACCAUUGCGAAGGCAGCUCGCUGGGACG
rnacentral:rRNA from 1 species